UUUAAAUGAAAAAAUCAAAAUUAUGUAGAGAUAUAUGUAUUUUUUUUUUAUUUUUUCUUUAAGAAAAAGGACCGAGAUUUGACCGGCUACAAGUCUAGCUGGGAUUCAGGUCUGCGGAUCAAAAGAAAUUAUUUACAGUGGUUGAGAGUUGAAACUUGUUAAACAAACGGCACUUGUGGGAUCGGGAAGGUGACGCAAAGCCAAGAUGGAGAAUCUGAGGAGAAUUUCAGAGAUCGCAGCAUCCGCAUCUAUGGAAGGAUCCAGUCAGGCUCCAGCUAGCUUUCAAUGGGGCGGUACGGCUUCCGCUUUGUGAGUUCCUCCCUUUUCUUCGACACCUUUAUGCCUAUAAUUUCACCUUUUGAUUUAUUAACCGUAACACGUAUCUGCGCGUAUAUAUUGCUCUUGCGUAUGUAUUUCUUUCUACCACUAGUAAUGCUGUUUUCUCUCCGCUUCUGAUCUGUGGGAAAUUAUGUAACGGCUAGAAGAAGGUAGGGGUUGAGAAUAGGGCGGGGAAUUCAUAACAGAAUGGUAAUGCACAAUUUGGUUGAAUACAUUGAAGAUUAGUUUGUGACUUGUGAGUGCCAUUCCUGCUAUGGUUGUUGUAAAAAUGAUGCUAUUUAGGGUUUAUAAUUGAGUUUGAUUUAAGAUUAAAUUCAACGGAAUAAGCAUGAUAAUAAUAUACAAAUAUGACAAAAAUUUUAAAUUAAGUUUGUCCAAUUUAAGGUAGUUGUUCUUGUGAUUGCUUUCUUUGAAUUGUGAGUAUGAAUUUUACAAUGUAAAGUUGAUUUAAUUAUGCAUCAAUUGUGCAAACUAUAACUAAAGAUUUAGGAAUUAACUGAGCAUGAAGAUAUCUAUUUCUAUCUAUUAUACUUUCUUGUGGAGAAAAAUAAGGAUAUUUUCUGCUUGAUAAAUACUCCUUCAAAUAUUGAUCCUUGAAAAUUGAAGCAACAUGUAUAUUGGAGUCCUAUUUAUCUAUUUAUUUUCAAGCUUAUUCUCUUUUUUUUCUUUUCUCUGCAGAUUCUUGGAAUCUUAUUUAUCCAUUUAUUUUCAAGCUUAUUCUCUUUUUUUCUU
rnacentral:lncRNA from 1 species